AAUGGGACCCUUUUAUGCUACAGGUUGCACUCUAAGAGCUUUAUUUCAUGUAAAGAAAAAAAAAGGAGAUGGAGGUCAUGGUCUUUUUGAAGAGAAAACAAAAUAAGAGGACCUCCCAUGUUAUUUGCUUCUUUGAUUUUUGAGUUGGCCUUUUAUAUUCUAGAUUUGUUUUCUGACCUCCCCAAGAGUACUACUUCUGUUCAAAGUUUUUCAUCUCUCUCUCUCUCUCUCUCUCUCCCCUGCAUUAUUAGAACAUAUAGUUACUUACAAGGGUAGUGACGUGACUGAAGAAGACUCCCAUGUGAUGUUCUGUGAAGUGUUCAUGACAAUCCCCUAUUUUUUAGUUCAUUUAUAGUAAGUAUGGAGCAGCCCCUUCGAUUCAUUGUUACCUUCAUUAAUUUGCAUCAAUAUGGUUUCAAUGCCACAAAAUGUAGGCAAUCUAAGAGAUGGUUUCUACAUGCAUAUGUAACAAUGCAUGGCCACCCUAAAUAAAUUAGAGAAAUUACUUGUUCAUGAUGCGAGUGAAAGUGUUAGUCAUAUUGGUUAUGUUUAAUGUUGUUGAAAUUAACAUCAGUAUUAGAAAUGAGAUACAUCACGCUUGUAAGGGAGUUGCUUUUUCAGGAGUCCGGAGGUUAUGAUUUGUAAAGAGCAUAAAGUCCUUCCACCGUGUGUUAUUCAGUUGUUUCAGUUGGAUAUAUAAUUGCUACAAAAGAAGUACAACAUAUAUACACAGCCAUAUCACUGAUACAAGUGUGAGUGAGGUGAGUCCUGAGUGUUGAAUUGUAAUCUUGUCUUGGCCCAAAGAUAACGGAUCCAGCCCAUGCACAAAGAAAGAUCCAUGCACAUGCUAAAGAAUUCUAGCAAAGUUCAAGUUGGUGGAAGAGUCUAGAAGAAUGGUGAGGAUUCCACCAACAUACAAGAUUAGUGUAGAUAAUUCUAGCUUAGUAAGGUAGUGGAAUUAUCUAGAUAUCUCUAGUAUGAUGCUUCCAUGCUUCUUCAAGGUUCCAUCCAUGCCUAUAAAAGGAGAAGGCAUCCACACCAUUUGUAACAACAAGAGAGUAAGUAGUGAGAAGUGAGAGUGCCAAGUGAGAAGUGAAAAGAAGCAACAAAGCUUCUAAGAGUGUUUGAGUGUUUCCUCUUGUACUAAGUUUGUGAGUGAAUAAAAAUAUUGUGUAAUACUUUGAGUAUUCUUUCUUUCUCUUGCCUAUCAAUUUCGCUGCAUUACAUUAUUCUUUGUGAGAUAAACAUCCCCAAAGUAGUGAAGUCUUUUUAAGCCCCAACAAAGUGGUACCAGAGUUAUGGCUAGCAACGCUAUGACAGCCUUCAAAGUGGUAUCAGAGCUAUGGUUAGCAAAGCUAUGGCAGCCUUCCAAGUUCCAGUGCUCGACAACAACAACUUCGAUAAUUGGAGUAUCAAAAUGAAGGCCUUUUUGGGAGCACACGAUCUAUAGGAAGUCGUGGAGAAAGGCUACAUUGAGCUAGAAGAUGAAGCUACGUUGUCCCAACCCCAGAAGGAGAGUUUGAAAGAUUCAAGAAAGAGAGACAAGAAGGCUCUCUACCUCAUCUACCAAGCAUUAGAUGAUAAUGGCUUUGAGAAGGUCUCGAGUGCAACCUCUGCCAAGCAAGCAUACGAGAAGCUUCAAACCUCUUACAAAGGAGCUGAACAAGUGAAAAAGGUUCGUCUUCAAGUAUUAAGAUGUGAGUUCGAAUCUCUACAUAUGAAAGGGUCUGAAUCAAUCUUUGAUUAUUUCUCAAGAGUCUUAGCCAUUUCCAAUCAAUUAAAAAGAAAUGGAGAAAAGUUAGAAGAUGUUAGAAUUAUGGAGAAGAUACUACGCUCGUUGAACACCAAGUUUGAGCACAUUGUCUUGACGAUUGAAGAAACUAAAAAUUUGGAAGAAAUUAAUAUAGAGCAAUUAAUGGGUUCACUACAAGCAUAUGAAGAGAAACAUAAGAAGAAACAAGGGAAUGAUGAGCAAAUCCUCAAGACGCAUGUCCAGCCAAAGAAGAAAGAAGAAAGCUUCAACAACGAGAGAAGCCAGUAUGGAAGAAGUCAUGGUCAAGGUUGCAGACGUGGACAUGGUUGGAACUUCAACAACCAUAACAACUACGAAAGAGGAGAAAGCUCAACAAAAGGUCGUGGAAAAGGAAACUCAAACUUGAGGUAUGAAAAAUCUCAAGUUCAAUGCUACAAUUGUCAAAAGUUUGGGCAUUAUGCUUGGGAAUGUAGAGCUCCAAGCAACAGACUUGAUGAGAAGGUCAACUAUGUGAAAGAAGAGAAAUAAGAGAAUGACCUUGUGCUACUAGCAUGCAAGAACAAUGAUGGAGACCAAGACUAUACAUGGUACCUUGACACCGGCGCCAGCAACCACAUGUGCGGAAGAAGAAGCAUGUUCGUAGAGCUCAAUGAAUCAGUGAGUGGCAACGUUUCUUUUGGAGACGAAUCCAAAAUACCCCUAAAAGGAAAAGGUAACAUCCUUAUUCCUCUGAAAAAUGGCGGUCACCAAUUAAUUUCAAAUGUCUACUACGUGCCCAAUAUGAAAAGCAAUAUUUUGAGCUUGGGUCAACUCUUAGAAAAAGUUUAUGAUAUUCAUGUGAAAAAUUAUAGCCUUUUUCUUAGAGAUGACAAAGGAAGAUUAAUUGCCAAGGUGAAAAUGUCAAAGAAUAUGAUGUUUCCUAUGAAUAUUCAAAAUGAUGUUGCAAAGUGCCUCAAAACAUGCUACAAAGAUACAUCCUGGCUUUGGCAUCUUCGUUUUGAGCAUCUUAAAUUUGGGGGAUUAGAGUUAUUAUCCAAUGAGGAGAUGGUGAGAGGCUUACCGUGCAUCAGCCACCUUGAUCAAGCUUGCGAAUGAUGUUUACUUGGGAAACAAUUCAGGAAAAGCUUUCCAAAUGAGUCGACCACAAGAGCCUAGAAGCCACUUGAGCUCAUUCAUACCGAUGUGUGCAGUCUAAUAAAACCAAGCUUUUUGGGUAAAAAUAAUUAUUUCCUUCUCUUCAUUGAUGAUUUUUCAAGAAAAACCUGAGUAUAUUUCUUGAAGCAGAAAUCAGAGGCCUUUGGAGCAUUCAAGAAGUUCAAAGCUGCCGUUGAAAAAAAAAGUGGUUGCAAGAUCAAAGCCAUGAGAUCUGAUCGAGGAUAAUUCACUUCGAAUGAAUUUCAAGAAUUUUGUGAAGCUAAUGGAAUUCGUCGACCUUUGACAAUUCCAAGAUCCCCUCAACAAAAUGGUGUGGUGGAAAGAAAAAAAUCGAACUAUCCUCAACAUGGCUCGAAGCAUGCUCAAAAGUAAGAAAUUGCCUAAGGAGUUGUGGACAGAAGCUGUAGCAUGUGCUGUCUACCUAUCCAAUUGGUCUCCAACAAGAAGUGUGUGGGGAAAGACUCCACAAGAAGUAUAGAGUGGAAGAAAACCAGGUAUCUCUCAUCUAAGAGUUUUUGGAAGCAUAGCCUAUGCACAUGUACCAGACGAGAGGAGAACCAAACUCGGCGACAGAAGUGAGAAGUUCAUCUUCAUCGGCUAUGACUCAAAUUCAAAAGGCUAUAAACUGCAUAAUCUAAACAAUGGGAAGACGGUGAUCAGUCGAGACAUGAUGUUCAAUGAAGAAGGAGAAUGAGAUUUUGGCUCUCAUGCAGGUGAUCUUUACUUCUUUCCUCAGUUUGAAGAAGAGAAUGAACAAAGGAUGAUGGAGUAAGUAAGAGAGGUUCAACAAAAAUCCACUACUCCACCUGCUUCACCAACAUCAACCAAUCAUGGCAAUUCACCAGCGUCAGCAUCAUCAAUUGAGAGUCUAAAUGAAAGAGAAGUACCAUGCACAAAAAGUCUAUGAUAUCUCUAUGAGGUAGCUGAAAGACUCGAUAAUCCUACAUUUUUUUGUCUCUUUGCUGAUUGUGAACCAGUUGACUUCCAAGAAGCAGUGCAAGAUACUAAGUGGAGGAAAACAAUGGAUGAAGAAAUUGAAGCAAUCCAGAAGAAUGAUACAUGGGAACUCGUUAUUCUUCCGAAAUGACACAAAGCCAUCGGAGUCAAGUGGGUGUACAAGACAAAGAAAAAUGCCAAUGGAGAGGUCGAAAGAUUCAAGGUAAGACUAAUGGCGAAUGGCUAUAGUCAAAGAGCCGGAAUCGACUAUGAUGAGGUAUUUGCACCCUUUGCUCGGUUGGAAACUAUACGAUUACUAAUUUCUUUGGCAGCUCAAAACAAAUGGAAGAUUCAACAAAUGGAUGUGAAGUCUGCUUUCCUACAUGAAGUCCUUGAAGAAGAAGUCUACAUUCAGCAACCGUCAGACUAUGAAAUCAAAGGGCAUGAAGACAAAGUUUUGAAGCUGAAGAAAGCCCUCUAUGGGUUAAAAAAAGCGCCACGAGCAUGGAAUAGUCGCAUUGACAAGUGCUUCCAAGAAAGCAACUUCACCAAGUGCCCUCAUGAACAUGCUCUCUACGUCAAAGUCAAAGAUGGAGAUAUUCGAAUUGUGUGCUUAUAUGUGGAAGAUCUAAUCUUCACCGGAAGUAAUCCAAGCAUGUUUGAAGAGUUUAAGAGAGUGAUGACCAAAGAAUUCGAGAUGACCAACAUCGGGCUGAUGGCAUACUACCUAGGCAUUAAAGUCAAGCAAAAUAAAGAAGGUAUUUUCAUUCUCCAAGAAAGCUACACAAAGAAGACACUGAAAAAGUUCAAAAUGAACGACUGCAAGCCCAUAAGCACGCCAAUGGAGUGUGGAGUCAAACUAACCAAGCAUGACAAAGGAGAAAUCGUAGAUCCAACAUUUUUCAAAAGUCUAGUUGGAAGCUUGCGCUACUUGACUUGCACAAGACCAGAUAUUCUCUAUGCCAUCAGAUUAGUCAGUCGUUACAUGGAGAAUCCCACAACUACACAUUUGAAGACUGCCAAAAGAAUUCUUUGAUAUCUUAAAGGUACUGUUAACUUUGGCUUGUUCUAUUCAAGUUCUGAUAACUACAAACUUGCUGGGUAUAAUGACAGUGAUUGGGUAGGAGAUUUUAACGAUAGAAAAAGCACUACUGGAUUUGUGUUCUUUAUGGGAGACACUGCAUUCACAUGGAUGUCGAAGAAGCAACCGUUUGUCACUCUCUCUAUCUGCGAAACUAAAUACGUAGCUGCUACCUCAUGUGUCUAUCAUGUAAUUUGGCUACUUGCUGAAAGAAUUAAGCAUGCCAUAAGAAGAGCCAACAGAGAUUUAUGUCAACAACAAGUCUACAAUAGCUCUAGCAAAGAAUCUGGUGUUCCAUGACAAGAGCAAACACAUAGAUACCCGUUAUCAUUACAUAAGAGAGUGUAUUGCAAGAAAGGAAGUACAAGUGGAAUACGUGAAGUCUCAAGAUCAAAUUGCAGACAUUUCCACUAAGCCACUCAAACAAAAAGACUUUAUAAGAUUGAGAAAUUCAAUCGAUGUCACAAGACAAGAUUAAUGGGGGAUGUUGAAUUGUAAUCUUGUCUUGGCCCAAAGAUAAUGGAUCCAGCCCAUGCACAAAGAAAAAUCCAUGCACAUGCUAGAGAAUUCUAGCAAAGUUCAAGUUGGUGGAAGAGUCUAGAAGAAUGGUGAGAUUCCACCAAAACACAAGAUUUAGUGUAGAUAAUUCUAGAUUAGGAAGGUAGUGGAAUUAUCUAGAUAUCUCUAGUAUGAUGCUUCCAUGAUUCUCCAAGGUUCCAUCCAUGCCUAUAAAAGGAGAAGGCAUCCACACCAUUUGUAACAACCAAGAGAGCAAGUAGUGAGAAGUGAGAGUGCCAAGUGAGAAGUGAGAAGAAGCAACAAAGCUUCUAAGAGUGUUUGAGUGUUUCCUCUUGUACUAAGUUUGUGAGUGAAUAAAAAUAUUGUGUAACACUUUGAGUAUUCUUUCUUUCUCUUGCCUAUCAAUUCCACUGCAUUACAUUCUUCUUUGUGAGAUAAACAUCUCCAAAGUAGUGAAGUCUUUUUAAGCUCCAACACUGAGGACAUUCCUUUAGUGCAGGAGUUUUGUGGGUUGCCUUUUAAGUGAGUGCUUAAUUUUGCUAUUAAGCCACUUUGUGCACAACUAUUUCUCACACAACGUAUAGAUGGUGCCAGCCGAGUUGAAGGAAUUGAAGACUCAAUUACAAAAGUUAACGGAUAAUGGAUUCAUAUAUACAACCUAGAAUUUUCCCCUUUUGGUGCACUAGUGUUGUUUGUGAAGAACUAUGGCUACAUGAGAUUAAUUAACUAAAGGUACCACGUGGCAAGAUCCUGGGCAUCCAACGAUAUUAAUUUUGAAAAUCAAUGACCAAGGUUACUCUAACAGUAAAAAAUCCAAAAAGAAAACAAAAAAAAUCCCUUUUUUUUUUUGUAAAUUUCCAAUAAUAUUUUUCAUUCUCUACACCACAACUCAAUAUUUAUUUUUACUACCAUCUCCUAUAUUUGGUUUCUACAUUCCAAAUCCUUUUGUUACAAAAAAUAAAAAAUUAUGAGAAGUCAAAUUGGUCAACUGGGGAGAUGUUGCUUUGCUUCAGGCUUGGAUGCUUGUUAUUCAUGACUCGAUCCCAUGAAAUGAGAUGAGGAUGCGGCACAUGUGGAAUAAGAUUCACGCACAAUUUGUCGAGUAGGUAUAAACAUUGGCAUAAAUAUUUGAAAGCUUGGUAAGAAGCCCUUGCAAAAGAAGGAAUUUAUCAAAGUGGAAACAAUUUAGCCAAUGUGGUUAUAGUAUUUUAUUAUUAAUAAAUCUUUAUGUUGUUUUACAAUUUUUUUUUAGCAACUAGUACAAGCUCAAAUGUGGUUCAAUCUUGAUAACAAGAAAACCAUUCACAAGACACAAAAGUUGGAACAUUGUAAAGCAUACUCCGAAGGACAAAGUUCUACAUAUUGGUCCACAAGUUCAGUUGAAUAAGACUCCAUUGCAAGAAUAAACUACUGAAGAGUCGCCAUUGGAGACCCUAAUUGAAUCGGUCGCACAAACUGAAGAAACCUUGAGGCUUAUUGGUAAGAAGGGUACUAAGGAAAAAGCUGUGCAAUAGGGAGUUCUUCAAAUAAUGAUUAUUCAAAAUUUGUUGACGAAUUGGCUUGUCAAUAUGCAAUGAAUAUGGAAUGAGACAGGUUAACAUAUGAGCAAGACACAGAUAGAGAUGAAAAGCGAGAAAAAGGGAGUUAACUAGGCAAGAAAGGCAAGAGGAGAAGAAUCGGGAGAUCAUGUCCUGAUGCCUCGAGGAUGAGUCUCCUAAUUCAAAAUAUUUUUGGAGAAGUGAAAAUAAUCGCAUCAUAAGAAGAAGGUUUACCACAGAAGAUGAGGAAGUUCAAUACUCUAAGGGAAGACGGACGGAGCCGCACUAAUUUUAUCCCCUAGGUUAAAAUUAAUUAUGUUUGUUGUAAUGCUAUGCUUUUUUUUUCUUGUAUUUGAAAUAAUUUAUUAAAUUAGACUUUAUUCAAGAAAUAAUUAAUGAUAUGUGAAGGAUGAAGCCAAGAAAACAUAAAGAAAAAAUAAAAAAUAUAUAUGUGAAAAGUAAUCUCAUUUGUCCUUACCCUCUCUCUUCCCAAACAAGUGGACUUACACAAAGGCAAUUAGUGUUUAAAGUGAAUAUUAAGGACAAUUUCAUUGCCCUUACCUUACCCUUACCCUUUUAAAAUGGGUGGAAUUGCUCUUACUGCUUCAACUUAUCAUGCUGAAAUGUACACAGUUGAUAUUUCUCAUGUAGUCUUGUAUUACAUAUAAUCACAUAUGUGCAAAUAUUAUACGCAUUUGACAUGACCGGCAAUGCAAGACUAUAUGGAUCGAUCAAUCUCUACGAUGCAGGAUUUUGUAGGAUAUCAUGGCAUGUAUCCAGAAGGAUCUGAAUUAGUUAGCCCUAGCUAUAUAUAGCAGUUACUACUUUGAUUGGAGCAUGGACCUGAUCGGUAAGUAUUACAUAAGCUAACAAACAUACAAGUGAUGUUUCCUCGUAGCAUUAAUAGCCACCAUCCUAAUUCUAACCCUAAUCUAGUAAGAUAUGAUUUCAUAUUAAACCAUAUCUAAACAAAUAUAUUGCCAUGAUACAUGUGUAGUACAAGGCCAUAAUUGUUGUGCAUGUAUGAAAGCUCAUAAAUUCUGAUCUCUAACACCAUGACCGAACGUAAGUAAUUUCCUCCCAACUACAUUUUCGUGCUAUUUUUCUUGAAUUUUGUAUUCCAAUAUUUGUACAUAGAGUGUAACACAACCAAACAUGAGAUCGUUUUAUGGGAUGGCUUUGAUUUUAUGCAUAAGUGUUUUUUGGUGCAUAUUGUUUCAAGCUAACUAUAUAUAUAUAUAUAUAUAUGUCUUCACUAUAUAUUGAAGUUCUUCUAAAUAAUCACAUCAUCUUAUGUAUAAUGUAUCCCCUUGGUUAUACGGUUGAACUUUGUUUGCUCAAGGACAUGCAAGGUUUGUUAUAUAAAAUUCUGAUGUGGAACAUCUCUUCACAUUCUCUGACUCCCCAUCACGUAUACAACACGAGAACAAUAAAAAUAGGGUGGCAUUGAAUACAUGUGGCCAUUGAAAUUCACGCAUGAGCCAACAUGCUCUAAUACUAUAAAAAAAUUGAUGUUUUAAUUAUUAUAAAACCAUUUGGAGCGGUCCAACUUCUUAUAAGGACUUGUAAGAUUUUGUAAACUUCGAUGAAGGAUGUUUCCUCACAUCCUCAUAGUAUGGACAUGUGGAGAUUGUGACUGUUUUUUUUUUUUUUUAGAGAUUGUGAUUGAUAAUAAAAAUAACAUAAUGACUCUAUACUUAUAAGGAGCCAAAGAAUGGUUUUCUUUUUACACCGUUUUGCACGCACAAAAGAAUGAACCCUAAGUUUCGACCAACUUGAAGUCGUACGAGAUUCUUCACGCUCUUAAUUUCCUAUAUUUUUGCGGUCGCUCACGAGUAAUCGCAACAAAAUUCACGACUUGUUUAAAGUGUGUAUCACUAUCACAAAAUGGCAAGCAUCAUUUCCACAGAGAUUUUAUGCACAACAUCUCCCAUGUCAUUUUAGGUGCAAGUUGUGGGCAAAGCAAAAGUUGGCAAAGCUGAAUAGGACGCAUUGUU
rnacentral:lncRNA from 1 species